CAGCCGCCACGGUAAUACGAAGGGUGCGAGCGUUAAUCGGAAUUACUGGGCGUAAAGCGUGCGCAGGCGGUUAUAUAAGACAGAUGUGAAAUCCCCGGGCUCAACCUGGGAACUGUAUUUGAGACUGUAUGGCUAGAGUGUGUCAGAGGGGGGUAGAAUUCCACGUGUAGCAGUGAAAUGCGUAGAUAUGUGGAGGAAUACCGAUGGCGAAGGCAGCCCCCUGGGAUAACACUGACGCUCAUGCACGAAAGCGUGGGGAGCAAACAGGAUUAGAUACCCCCGUAGUCCCUGUCUCUUAUAA
rnacentral:rRNA from 1 species